CCUACGGGUGGCAGCAGUGAGGAAUAUUGGUCAAUGGCCGGAAGGCUGAACCAGCCAUGCCGCGUGAAGGUCAGUGCCCUAUGGGCGUUAAACUUCUUUUGUGCGGGAGCAAUAAUGGUCACGUGUGGCCAGACGAGAGUACCGUACGAAUAAGCAUCGGCUAACUCCGUGCCAGCAGCCGCGGUAAUACGGGGGAUGCAAGCGUUAUCCGGAUUUAUUGGGUUUAAAGGGUGCGUAGGCUGGGAGGUAAGGCAGCGGUGAAAUGCCCCCGCUCAACGGGGGGAAGUGCCAUUGAUACUGGCUUGCUAGAGUGCGGAUGCCGUGGGAGGAAUGUGUGGUGUAGCGGUGAAAUGCAUAGAUAUCACACAGAACACCGAUUGCGAAGGCAUCUCACGAAUCCGCGAUUGACGCUGAUGCACGAAAGCGUGGGGAUCAAACAGGAUUAGAUACCCGAGUAGUC
rnacentral:rRNA from 1 species